CGAGUCGCUGGGGAUAUGUUUCGUCUCGUAAGUGGGAGGGUCGGUUUCCCCCUCCGACUUACGACCCGAAACAUAUCCCCAGCGACUUG